ensembl:lncRNA
AGAUUCAAACGUGACCCUGCAGAUGGACAUUGUCUGUUGGCGUAUUUCGGCACACGUCCCAUCGGUGGGACGACACAGACCAGAGGAUGUCUUAUUUCAUACUGCUUUACAAUGGGGUAAAAGAUUACAUUUGACAUUUAAAGGGUGUUUUUCGUCCCCUUGACAAGCACCGAUUGGUUUCUGCUGUACAUAUUUGAACUACCCAAGUAGGCUAGUGAUCGUGAAUCAAAGAAAACACAUGACAUACAUGACUGAUACAUAUUCUGCAACUCACGUGUCUUAAUUUUAAAAUGCUUCUUGUUAGACAGCAGGCUGGUUUUCAUAGUCACUGUUGUUGUUUCAUUGAAGGAAUUCUCUUUUUUUUUUCUUGGAGUUAAAUUUUCUAAUAAGCAUUGCCAUUUCGUUACAAGGUCUUAGGUACGUAUGGUUUUACAUGAGUAACCAUAUGUUUGACUACGAGUAAUAGGCACCUCUGCUGUAUAUGGUAGAACGUUUCACUGUGUUUCUGACCGACUGUAUUUAUAUUUUAACCAAAUCUCACCAGCCUGUUAAAAGAACUGUUACAGUGUUCCCAGAUUUAUCAAUCCCUAUUUCUAAUUGUGCAUUUCCUCAAUGCCCAUUACUAAUAAUUUGUUGUAGCUACGAUGCAAUAUUUAAUGCAGCUAUUUUUUGUGUUUGACAUGCAAUAUUCCAAAGUGGGAUUAUUUUGUUUAAGGAAAUUCCUAUUUGUUUUUGACACAUGAGAUUCAAUUGAAUGUGCUUUUUGGCAUUUAAAUAUAGAGACAAACUAGGUUCUAACGUUACGAAACAUGCUCCAGCUUUAACACAUAUAAUCUCUUUAUUUAUGUUGCAGUUUUCUUUUCUUCAUUUAUAUUACUUAGUCCAGUUAACUUCACUGGCUUUUAUUUGGGGACGAUUACAAUUUAUGUUUUCAAGGGCGUUUCAUCAUAGGUGUUAUAUUACACUCAAAUACGUAAUACUAUUAAUUAAUGCUUUAAAAGAAAUUUAGUUUGGAGGGUUGGCAGCUACCUUUAAGUGGUAUUGGCAUAUUAUUUUAGACUGGAAUCCUGAACAAACAAAUGCUCUUUAAUCCCAAUAAAUAUGUGGACAAUGUGAGCAAUAAAUAAAAGCCACGGCGAGGUGCAUUUGUUUUAUUGCCGUCAUCCCCGCUAAUUCUCUCAUUUAUGGAGUAAGAAACAAGACCUGCCGACUCGUCACAACUCAUUUUCCUCCACAGCUUGUCAGUGAAAUAAGUCUGAUGUUCAAGCUGACCUCCAUCAAAUGGAACAGUGGAGCAAAGAAAACUACUGAGACUUUAACCCAGAUUGAAUAAAAAUAUCUCAUCUUCCACCCACACGCCAACACGCACAGGCUGGCGUGUUGUGCAGGGUGAUACGUGGGUUAUGUAUAUAGAUAAAUAUGGAUUUGUGAUAUAUUGCCAAUAGUUACGCCAAUCUGUAAAUAUGUAUGAAAAGACAUAUUGUUCUAACUGUUGGGUUCAAAUGAAAUAGGAAAAAUAACACUGGAACUUGUAGUGAAUAAAUAUUGUUAAUA